UAUAAUAGUUACAAUGAAGGAGGAAAUUUUAAUGAAAAUAAUAAUAAUGAUGACAAAAACUAUAAUGACUUUAGAAAUUAUAAUGGACAGUAGCAAUCAAACUAUGAACCCAUGAAGGGGGACAAUUUUGAUAGAAGAAGCUCAGGCAGCCCCUAUGGUGGUAACUUUGGAUCUGAUGGUAGAAAUGGUGGUUAUGGUAUCAGAAGAUUUUAA
rnacentral:lncRNA from 1 species